GACGAACGCUGGCGGCGUGCUUAACACAUGCAAGUCGAACGGAAAGGCCCUGCUUGCAGGGUACUCGAGUGGCGAACGGGUGAGUAACACGUGGGUGAUCUGCCCUGCACUUCGGGAUAAGCCUGGGAAACUGGGUCUAAUACCGGAUAGGAGCCAUUUUUAGUGUGAUGGUUGGAAAGUUUUUUCGGUGUAGGAUGAGCUCGCGGCCUAUCAGCUUGUUGGUGGGGUAAUGGCCUACCAAGGCGGCGACGGGUAGCCGGCCUGAGAGGGUGGACGGCCACAGUGGGACUGAGAUACGGCCCAGACUCCUACGGGAGGCAGCAGGGGGGAAUAUUGCACAAGGGGCGCAAGCCUGAUGCAGCGACGCCGCGGGGGGGAUGACGGCCUUCGGGUUGGAAACUCCUUUCGCUAGGGACGAAGCUUUUUGUGACGGUACCUAGAUAAGAAGCACCGGCUAACUACGUG
rnacentral:rRNA from 1 species